GACGAACGCUGGCGGCGUGCUUAACACAUGCAAGUCGAACGGAAAGGCCCUGCUUGCAGGGUACUCGAGUGGCGAACGGGUGAGUAACACGUGGGUGAUCUGCCCUGCACUUCGGGAUAAGCCUGGGAAACUGGGUCUAAUACCGGAUAGGAGCCAUUUUUAGUGUGAUGGUUGGAAAGUUUUUUCGGUGUAGGAUGAGCUCGCGGCCUAUCAGCUUGUUGGUGGGGUAAUGGCCUACCAAGGCGGCGACGGGUAGCCGGCCUGAGAGGGUGGACGGCCACAUUGGGACUGAGAUACGGCCCAGACUCCUUCGGGAGGCAGCAGUGGGGAAUAUUGCACAAUGGGCGCAAGCCUGAUGCAGCGACGCCGCGUGGGGGAUGACGGCCUUCGGGUUGUAAACUCCUUUCGCUAGGGACGAAGCUUUUUGUGACGGUACCUAGAGAAGAAGCACCGGCUAACUACGUG
rnacentral:rRNA from 1 species